rnacentral:rRNA from 1 species
AUUGAACGCUGGCGGCAGGCUUAACACAUGCAAGUCGAGCGGGGUGAUGGUGCUUGCACUAUCACUUAGCGGCGGACGGGUGAGUAAUGCUUAGGAAUCUGCCUAUUAGUGGGGGACAACAUCUCGAAAGGGAUGCUAAUACCGCAUACGUCCUACGGGAGAAAGCAGGGGAUCACUUGUGACCUUGCGCUAAUAGAUGAGCCUAAGUCGGAUUAGCUAGUUGGUGGGGUAAAGGCCUACCGAGGCGACGAUCUGUAGCGGGUCUGAGAGGAUGAUCCGCCACACUGGGACUGAGACGCGGCCCAGACUCCUACGGGAGGCAGCAGUGGGGAAUAUUGGACAAUGGGGGGAACCCUGAUCCAGCCAUGCCGCGUGUGUGAAGAAGGCCUUAUGGUUGUAAAGCACUUUAAGCGAGGAGGAGGCUCUUUUGGUUAAUACCCAAGAUGAGUGGACGUUACUCGCAGAAUAAGCACCGGCUAACUCUGUGCCAGCAGCCGCCGUAA